UACGUAGGGUCCGAGCGUUGUCCGGAAUUAUUGGGCGUAAAGGGCUCGUAGGCGGUUUGUCGCGUCGGGAGUGAAAUCACCGGGCUUAACUCGGUGCUUGCUUUCGAUACGGGCAGACUAGAGGCAUUCAGGGGAGAACGGAAUUCCUGGUGUAGCGGUGAAAUGCGCAGAUAUCAGGAGGAACACCGGUGGCGAAGGCGGUUCUCUGGGAAUGUCCUGACGCUGAGGAGCGAAAGUGUGGGGAGCGAACAGG
rnacentral:misc_RNA from 1 species